UCUGUGGUGGAGCUUAAUCAAAAUGGCUUCCAGCUGGUCCUCGGUGGGGACGAGGAGGCUUGAGGCCUAGACGUGAGACUCAGGCCGGGGAAGGCAGACUGAGUAGAGGAGGAAGGGGGAGCCUAAGUAAAAGCCCCAGCAGGAGGAUCUGGGAAAAAACCAUCUUGUUUGGUGACCCAAAUGCAGCUUUCCACACGGUUGGAGGUACAUCAUACUCACUCAGCCUCUCAUCUUUUGAAUUUUAAAGCUUCAGCUUCAACCCGCUUCCCACCGGCCUCUUGCUUCAGUGCGGUGCCUCCUUGCUUCUUGCUGGUAAACCCGUACUUGGCUAGCUGAGGAGAAAUUUUCAUCCUACAAACUCCUUACUCAUGGCCUGGCUCCCAACCUCCAAGAGGAAACAGGAUCUGUAAGAGUGAACCACUCAAUAUCCAGCUUCCAAACCAAUCGGUCAGGUUAAAAAAUAGAAGUAGGUCUCUCCUGUCUUAGGAACAAUCCUGACUUCAAUGCAGUGGAUUCCUCCCGCUACUCUCGCAGAAUGAAAGUUCCAUGAAAGCAGAGACCUGUCUGUCUCCUUUGCAGUUUUAUCCCUAACACCUUGCAUAGUUCCUGGGUGCUGAAGGAUGAGAGAAGUGGUUCUGAUAUACCUCAGGUUGAAAUUUCUCUUGCAUAAUUGAAGACUCUUCAGUAUAGAUACAGGAAUUCAGGAGUUAAACCAACCAAUAUAAGGAGAGGAGGAGCCUAUGGAGGAAAAAGAAGACAAAAAGAUUUGUAUACUGAUUAUUUGUUUUUCCAAAAGUAUUCAUUUAUGAUUAUAUGUAAGAAAAAGAGGAUUUAUAAACUAUGUAAUUGAAACCUCAUUCUUGGAAGUAUAUCAAGAGGGACUAGAAGGAAGAAAAAGGUCCAUAGAUAGAAUAAUAAUAACUCCAUUAGCUUUAGUUUUCUUUUAAAAAAAAGUAAACGUAUUCGAACGAUUAUGU